CAUCUGUAAUAAUGUUGUUACAACUGACAUGAAUUACAUUUGGCAUUUAAGACUUGCUCAUACUCCAUUUACAAAUAUGAGACAUAUUUGUGGUUUGUCUUUUCCAUUUGCUUCUAAACAACCUUUUCCAUGUUCUGUAUGUCCUAUGGCAAGACAGACUAGACUCCCCUUUCCUGAUAGUUCUAUUAAGACCUCUAGACCCUUUCAAUUGAUUCAUGUGGAUACUUGGGGACCUUAUCAUACUCUAACUUCUUCUGGUUGUAGAUAUUUCCUUACAAUUGUUGAUGAUUUUUCUAGGGCAACAUGGACACACUUAAUGGGAUCCAAAAUCAAUGCUUUUUCUAUGCUUAAGUCAUUCCUUUCUCAUGUCAAAACCCAAUUUAAUGUUGUGGUUCAAACUGUUAGAAGUGACAAUGCUUUAGAAUUGGGAUCUAGCAUUAAGGGUACUUCUUUCUUUAGUGAUCAGGGGAUCAUAUAUCAAACCACCUGCCCUCAUUCUCCUCAACAGAAUGGUGUUGUUGAGAGAAAGCAUAGAACCCUCCUUGAAACAUGUAGAUCUUUACUUUUCCAAUCUGGGUUACCUGUGUCUUUCUAGGGAGACUGUUUGUUGACUGCCUUCCUCCUUAACAGAAUACCAUCCAGAUUACUUCACAAUAAGUCUCCUAAUGAAAUUUUGUAUGGGAAAGCUCCAACCUAUUAUCAUUUGAGAGCAUUUGGGUGUCUUGCCUAUGCUACUGUCCCAAUCCCUCAAAUCAAUGCUUUUUCUAUGCUUAAGUCAUUCCUUUCUCAUGUCAAAACCCAAUUUAAUGUUGUGGUUCAAACUGUUAGAAGUGACAAUGCUUUAGAAUUGGGAUCUAGCAUUGAGGGUGUAUCUUUCUUUAGUAGCCAAGGGAUCAUACAUCAAACCACCUGACCUCAUUCUCCUCAACAGAAUGGUGUUGUUGAGAGAAAGCAUAGAACCCUCCUUGAAACAUGUAGAGCUUUACUCUUCCAAUCUGGGUUACCUGUAUCUUUCUGGGGGGACUGUUUGUUGACUGCCACUUACCUUCUUAACAGAAUACCAACCAGAUUGCUUCACAAUAAAUCUCCUCAUGAAAUUUUGUAUGGGAAAGCUCCAACCUAUUCACAUUUGAGAACAUUUGGAUGCCUUGCCUAUGCUACUGUACCAAUCCCUCAAAGGGACAAGUUAAAGCCAAGAGUCAUUCCUUGUGUUUUCCUGGGUUAUCCUUUUGCUAAGAAGGGUUAUAAAUUGUAUGAUCUUGCUUCAAAGAAAUUUUUGGUUUCCAGGUAUGUUAUAUUUCAUGAAUCCUCUUUUUCUUUUAAAACUAUAUCUUCUUCUGCUCAUCCUUCUGCUUUAUCCUUUCCUUUCGUUCCACCUGUAGAACAUUGUGAUGAUCCUGAUUCUCCCAUUCCCAUCUCCUCUCCUCUUUCUCCUACAUCUGUGUUAGUACCUCCUCAUACUGUUCCAGACCCUACUGACUCUGCCUUAACUCCUUUUUUUAAUCCUGAUAUCUCCUCUCCUGUUUUAGCCUCUCCUCCUUCUGUUCCUGCUCCCAGAAAGUCUCAAAGACAGCAUAAUCCUCCCUCUUAUCUUAAGGAUUAUGUGUAUCAACUACUUGCCUUUUCUGGUUCAUCUUCCUCCUCUUUGGAAUCUGAACCUCUAUAUUACUCUCAAGCUGCAGCUGUUCCAGCAUGGCAGGAUGCCAUGAGAAAGGAGUUUGAUGCUUUGGACACAAACCAUACUUGGGAUGUUGUUCAUCUUCCUCCUGGUAAGAAACACAUUGGCUGCAAAUGGGUUUAUAAAAUCAAAUACAAGGCUGGUGGCAGUGUUGGAAGG
rnacentral:lncRNA from 1 species